rnacentral:antisense_RNA from 1 species
CUUGAUGGAGCCGAGCCACAGCGGCUGGUCGUCGGACCGCUCGCGCCCGUACGUGGCGAGCAGCGCCUGCGCCUC